UAAUCUACCAACUAAAACCCUGCAAAUUGCAAUUAUAGCCACUCCACGGCUAAUAGCGCAACCGCCUCUUCUUGUAACUGGCCUGGGGAAAAGAAACCCCUAAUUCCCAAAUUCUCCAAUCUCUUCCCUAAUAGCGCAACCGCCUCUACCUAUUUCUUUGCCCCAAGCCUAGUACAAGUAAAAGCGUUUUGAGCUCUGCAUAAAAAGAUAUCUUGGUUUCUAUCUCUUCUUUCUUCACUCUCUGCACUGACACAUCAGCACCACCACCACCAGCACCAACAACCACCUGAUUGGACCCAACCCUUCUUGAGCUUGAGCUGGGUUCUGGGUCCAAGGGCGGAGUAUCAGGCACAAUAGCCAAAGGGUUAGUCUCUUCAGGAACUUCAUCUUCCCCAAUCCUAGCCAACAGAACCAGCAAGAACCAAAGCAUUGAACUCUCUACUCAUGGAGGUGAAGUUCUCACUUGCAGCCCCUUCACUACUCAUGGAUAUUGAGCGAUGGCUAC